rnacentral:sRNA from 1 species
UAAACUCGACACACCUCGGAGAUUGA